AACGAACGCUGGCGGCAGGCCUAACACAUGCAAGUCGAGCGAGGACUUCGGCCCUAGCGGCGGACGGGUGAGUAACGCGUGGGAACGUGCCCUUUGCUUCGGAAUAGCCCUGGGAAACUGGGAGUAAUACCGGAUGAGCCCUUUGGGGGAAAGAUUUAUCGGCGAAGGAUCGGCCCGCGUUGGAUUAGGUAGUUGGUGGGGUAAUGGCCUACCAAGCCGACGAUCCAUAGCUGGUUUGAGAGGAUGAUCAGCCACACUGGGACUGAGACACGGCCCAGACUCCUACGGGAGGCAGCAGUGGGGAAUCUUAGACAAUGGGGGAAACCCUGAUCUAGCCAUGCCGCGUGAGCGAUGAAGGCCUUAGGGUUGUAAAGCUCUUUCAGCUGGGAAGAUAAUGACGGUACCAGCAGAAGAAGCCCCGGCUAACUCCGUG
rnacentral:rRNA from 1 species